rnacentral:lncRNA from 1 species
UUGGGAGGCUGAGGCAGGAGAAUGGCUUGAACCUGGGAGGCGGAGCUUGCAGUGAGCCCAGACCGUGCCACUGUACUCCAGCCUGGGCGACACAGCAACACUUCAUCUCAAAAAAAAAAAAAAAAAAGUGACCACAUACUAUGUUAUCUGUCCUAUAAUCUGCCCUUUUUAUAUUUAACAAUGUAGUAACAUCUUUUGAUGUUAAUAAAUACAAGUCUACUCCAUUUUUAAUAACUGCAUUGAAUUUGUGUGCUUAGGAAAGCCAUCUUCAUUUUAAAAUUACUAAAAUAGUUGAAUAUAUUACUUUCCAGUUAAGGUUAUCUCUAACUCAGUGGUCGUCAGCAAACUUAUUCUGUAAAGGGCCAGACAGUACAUAUUUUUGGCUUUGUGGGCCAUACAGUCUCCAUCACAACUAAUCAAUUCUGCCAUUGUAGUGGGAAGCAGCCGUAGACAGCCAAUACCUAAACAAUCCUUAAACUUAACUUCUGCACACUGAAAUUUGAAUUUCAUACAAUUUUACAUGUUAUGAAGUAUCUUUUAAUUUUUUUUUCCAUUUAAAAGUAUAAAAUCAUUUUCCCCUUUCUUUCCUCACCAGUCAUACCAAAACAGGUGGCAGACUGCACUUGGCUCUCAGGCUGGAGUUUGCUGACCCCUCUAGCAGAAUGCCUUCCUUCAAAGCUUUCAUCUCCUGCUAUGAAGUCUCUCAGUGUCACACCUAAGUUUCCUUCAGUUAGAUGCUAACCUUCUUGGAAUAUAUUCUUUUGAUGGUACAGAGAUGCCCUGGGUUGUAAAGCAAAAAAUCACACCUCUGACUUAGCUUGUGUUUUUGUCACACGUUUCUGAUCCAAAACAUAAAAUGAUAAAAUUCAGAGGUUGGAAGAACAACUUCAUUUCUAUUUUAGAAAACACAAUCAUUUGAACAUGUUUACUGAAAGCACUGAUAUGUUUUAUAAAUUCAGUUUUUCCUUUCUUUUCUUGUAAAACUUUCUCAUUGCUUUUACACCUUUACUAAGAAAAAAUUGCCUUGAUAUUGAAGAGGGAGACUUCCCUUACUGUUAUCCUGUAAAAGCCAUAUUUCCCACACUGCAUUAUAUACUCUCUUUUAUUAUUAUUAUUAUUUUUUGGAGAUGGAGUCGACUCGCUCAGUCACCCAGGCUGGAGUGCAAUGGCACGAUCUCGGCUCACUGAAACCUCCGACUCCCGGGUUCAAGCGAUUCUCCCGCCUCAGCCUCCCGAGUAGCUGGGAUUACAGGCACCCACCAUCAUGCCUGGCUAAUUUGUAUUUUUGUAGAGACAGGGUUUCAUCUUGUUGGCCAGGCUGGUCUUGAACUCCUGACCUCAGGUGAUCUGCCUGCCUCAGCCUCCCAAAGUGCUGGGAUUACAGGCGUGAGCCACCGCGCCGGGC